UUGAUAGUAAUGAGGAUACAUGGUGGAAGGCCGAUGUUAGAGAAACAAAGGAAGAACUUGCAGCCAGAGGGCGGAAGUUCAUGAACUGGUUGGGGACAAGAAAAGAGGAGAUAGCAAUUGUGACGGAUAGAGCAUUGUUGUUUCAUACUCUUAGUGCCUUUGUAAACCACAGCCAUCCCUUGGAGAAGAAAGAAUUAUCGAAGCCGCAAGUUUGCCGAUGCCUUCCAUGUAGUUAUUUGCUAUUCACAUCCUUUUGAGCCAACAGAGUUGAUUAUUUAUGCGCGAUUCUUUUUAGAUGAAAACAUCUUGUUUCUUCAUGGAUUACAUAAAUACAAUUUAGUCCUCACCAGUUUUGUGCAUUAGUUCAAAAAUUUCUUAUUGUUCCAGCUGUUUUGGGAUCUUGCAUGCUGUUUCAUGUGGUGCCUAAAUUCUUAAACUUUUGGAUUACGUUUUUGUAACCGCCGCUGUGAUAUGUUCAGUGGUACCCUCCUUUUUGUAUAGUAGGAAAUAACUGACCGGUUUCAAUAAUAUUUGUGCAGCUUUGCCAAUUGCGAGCUUCGCUCCGUGGUCAUGUUGAUGUGUACGAAUACAUUCAAAAACAACUUUUAAGAGCUCCCUUGCACCUCAAUCAGGGUUUUUAUGAUUUAUUCCUAACUUGUAGUGUGACAGGAUAGGAUGCUUUAAUCACAAAAAAUCAGGCAAGAUGCCUUCGUGAAGGACCUCUCCUCUAGUGAUGUUGCCCAUAAAAACGCUGAGAGGAAAAAAAAGAAACAAGGUUCUGUAGAUAUUUCAUCCUGACUCGGGCAAUCUAGCAUAAUUAUUUCAAAUUUCACAAAUUAUGCUUCUUGUCUGCAACAGGAAAUAUUUUAUAUGGGAUACUUGUCCAACAAAGUAUUCUACUAAGGAUACAAGAAUCUCAGUCAUUACAACAUACAAUGAUAUGGUCAUAUGGUAUUGAUGUAUAUUACUCAGUAUAUUACUUAACGAGCAGCAGAUGUGAUAAAUAUGGAAAAUAUAAUUCAAUAGAUAACAAAAAAUUAUUAUCUUUAAGAGCAAUGCUGAACAUUCUGUUUCAAUAGCACAUAAUCUUAUAUUUGAAGUUCUUAAGAAAGAAGCUCCUUCUACAUAUUGACGACGAGCAAGUUACCUUCGCCCGUGAUUUUCUAAAUAAUUUUUUAUUUUGUCUUUAAUUAUUACUAUGCAGAUUUAUUUCCUAAGAACUUCUCAAAUCAUAAAUCCUUUGGAGAAAUGAGAUGCACCGAGGAUGAAAGCACACACAGCAUUUGCUAAAUGGAUAGCGAUUUCCAAAUGAUAAAA